rnacentral:misc_RNA from 1 species
AUGAGACUAGCGAGAGAAGCAGACAUGCCUCGUUGCCCAUUCAUUGCUAGUUCCCCUCGAUCUCUCUCCAUCUGUCAGCCAACCAUAACCAACCAUUUCACCAACACACACAUCCGUUGUCAUCUAUUCACUUUUAUUUUCAUUUUGGAACCCUUACACACCAAAAUGAUACUCUUACUUUCGCUCAUGACCCUCAUGUUAUCAUUUGCAAAAGCACAGAACAUGGAUUUUCAACCAUUUCUCUCCCUGUUACGACCUGAAAAUAUGAGAAGUAUGGCUGAACUUGCCACCGAAUUAUCAUCAAUGGCAGGUAACAAUAUGAGGGAAAACGAGAGAGAUGUUCAGCGGACGGUAGCCGCUCCGAAACCGCCGACGCCCGAACAAAGGCCGUCACAAAUGAUUGGCGGAGGCGGGAGAUAGAGUUCGUUGAAGGGUUGGCUGCCAACACAUCGCCACCCCACCACAGAGAGACACACAUUUACGACCCAAUAUAUUCAAAUAUUACCUCUUGCUCCCAGUUUUCAAGAUUUUAUGAUGAUUUUUACUUUAUUAGAAAGAACACAUUCUCUUUCCUAUUUGCAGGGAUAGUGGAAGACAAAGAAAAACAAUAUGGAUUUAAAAUCAGGGCUUCGCCCCGAUUUUAAUAAAAUCAAUUCAAAAUCUCGCAUUCCAAGGCCGAAAUGCUUUCCUACAAGCCCUGGAUAAGCUGGAAGCUUCCGGAGCUUCUACGCCACCAACACCACCACCAUCCACAUUUCCGACCCUCCCACCAUUAACAUUCGGAACCCCAUCGACUCCACCACCACCAGCAACACUUCCACCAAUGUUUGGGAUUCCGAAGCAACAAGAGUCGAAUGAUAAUACUUUCGACAUGGGCGGUCGUGAUGUGUUGGGUGUGCGGGAUUUCAAGAAAAACGUGGCGAUGGGAGAGAAGAUUCGGGAGAUUCGAUAUGCCGAGCCGAUAGCCGAGGUGGCUGUAGAAGCUGCUCCAGCUAAUAUUCCGGCUCCCGUGGAAAUUGCCGCACCGGCUUCCGCGUCUUCUUCUGCUGCAGCUGUGAGUGCUCCCGAACUAGCAAGACCACCAGCGCCGACAAACGCUUUCGACGGCAGCCCAUUCAUGCAAAUCGCCCGUCGAUUCCUUCAAGUUGGCACCGGCACCGGGACCCCAACUGAGGGAGGCAAAGCGGAGCCACUCCCGCAGAUCGGAAUCCGAGAUUUUAUGCCAAAUACGGAUAGUAACUUUGGCCUGCCACGUGGCAAAGGCUGCCUUCCAUUUAUAUCGGAAUUCAUGCAAAUCGCGUAUGGAAAAUGCCAGGAUCAAGCCGACGAGAAGACGUUCGACGCGUGGGGUGAAGAACUUCGACGAGCAAUUCUUCACGGAGAAAUCGAUUUGCUGAAAGCAUCCCAGGAGACGUGCCGACGUGGUGCAGAACGGCAACAGUGUGAUUCGCUGCGAGAAGCCGUUGCCACGUGUGAUGUGAUGGCAAGCUUGGAAAUCGGAACACAAUUGCAGAGAGCCAUGAAGAGAUGCGAAGAAGUGUCUGGAAUGAUGGAUCAGUCGCCUGCAGCUGUGUUGGGACAGCUGAACAAUUUGAUUACCGGGGAGGUGGCGCAGGGAUUUUUGAAUAAUUUCUUGAAGAAUGGAUAA